UACGAAGGGGGCUAGCGUUGCUCGGAAUUACUGGGCGUAAAGGGCGCGUAGGCGGAUACUUAAGUUAGAGAUGAAAGCCCAGGGCUCAACCCUGGAACAGCCUUUAAUACUGGGUAUCUUGAGUUCGGGAGAGGUGAGUGGAACUCCGAGUGUAGAGGUGAAAUUCGUAGAUAUUCGCAAGAACGACCAGGUGGCGAAGGCGGCUCACGUGGUCCGGUACGUGACGCUGAGGUGCGAAAGCGUGGGG
rnacentral:rRNA from 1 species